rnacentral:rRNA from 1 species
UACGUAGGGGGCAAGCGUUGUCCGGAAUCAUUGGGCGUAAAGCGCGUGUAGGCGGCUCGGUAAGUCUGCUGUGAAAGUCCAGGGCUCAACCCUGGGAUGCCGGUGGAUACUGUCGAGCUUGAGUCCGGAAGAGGCGAGUGGAAUUCCUGGUGUAGCGGUGAAAUGCGCAGAUAUCAGGAGGAACACCGGUGGCGAAGGCGGCACUCUGGGCCGGAACUGACGCUGAGGAGCGAAAGCGUGGGGAGCGAACAGG